UCAUUUGAAAUCCCUAGCCUCCUUUGAAAUUCCUUUCAUUUUUCCCUCCACUCUCUCGCACUUCCUCUCUGACUCUUCAAUUUAGCCACUAGCUCACUUCCAUGGCUUGAGGUUAGUACAACACACUGUGUGGUUUCAUACGCAUGAUUGUACUUUAGCAUAGAAGAAGACCUUUCACCACUGUUAUUCAACAUUCGAAGACAUAAACUCACGCACUAAUCACU
rnacentral:lncRNA from 1 species